GCUUUUUUUCUUUUCAAUUGAUAUUUUCGUAAUUAAAAUUAUUUCAACCUCCAAGUGCUAUAGCUUCAUGAAUUUUCCGGGAACCUCAUCAUCUAGACGAAAUUACAAAUUGUAUAGAUCGAGAUCUUCUAGAUAUCUAGAUAAAGAUCUUAAACUAAUUCUUUGGUUUCGAAGUGACCAACCCAUUUUCAAAGUUCGAUGACACGCUGCCAUUUAAAGUUCUUUGUUGACAGUUUGCUAUCAGCUGAGUCCACAUUCUGGCUAUGGCUUUACUAAAGACUGUCUUAGGGAAGAAUCCGAUCUGGAAUAUGCCAAUAACAUCAUUAGGUAGAUCUAGAUAGAUUCUAGAUCUAGAUGUACACAUCAAAGGAAGAAUAGCUUCGACGUUCGAUGCCGGGUAACUGCUGUCACUGCUGAGGGAUCGGAGAACAAUUGACAAGGUGUCCGAUGGUAACUUAGAAUAGGAUCAGGUGAUCGCAGGCCUAUGGCUUGUGGCGGCUCGUAUCACAGAACAGAUGGCUAAACUGUAAAAUGUACCUGCACUUGCUCCGAGCUGAGUUUCAAGUUGUUUAGACAUCGGUCCACGAUUGUCAUUCAACUCAACUACGGGAACUUCUACUUCCCCUCCAUCGUCAGCCAGACCGUUAGAUCUAUCUCCAUUGAAGUCUAAGAAUUCCUCGUCCAAUGAUGAUCCUGGCACUGGCCCGUGCGUCUCUUCACCGGCCACUUUCCCAGUCGCUGCUACAGUUGGAGCCUCGCUGUCAUAAAAUGGGAGGACCAGAGACAGUUUCCUGAGACUUCGUGCAGGUUGAGCACUACAGAUGGAUCAUUUCUGCGUCUAAAACGUUAGGUAGCUCGAUGUACCAGGGAAAAUCCUGAAAGACCAAGAACAAUUGAGAUGUUGGGGUUUUUUUUGGGGGGAGGGGGGGUUGGUAAAUGUUUGUAUUUGUCGCGUGUCCCUUUUUCGGGUACAUGCCAUAUUGCUGAUCUUAUUUGUGUCAGACAAAAUUAUUCACGAGAAUGUGAGUAAGUAAGGGAACCUUCUCUUGUAAGAAAAGUGUAAGAAUCAGGGGGUGGUCUUGAACCAAUGUAAUAUUAUACUUUUUUUCGAUCCCGAGGUGUUAACUUUAUCAAAAUUCUACUGUAAUUUGGGGGUGUUUUGACAUUGACAUGCAUCUCAAUUUUUUCCCUUAUUAGUAAGAAAGAGUGUAUGCAUUAUUUUGCUUGAAUGAUUUACUCUGUUAUUUUUUAGUGAAUGUAGAACUGCAUAUUUUAUUUUAUGUGCAUGAAUGUGUGUACGCAUGUUUUUCAUGAAUAUUAUGUAAGACGCAUAGAUCAAUGAUUGUAACACGGAUAUGAAUGUCAUAUUAUUAUUAUUAUAGGCGAACAGUGUAAUAUUACGGGGGGUGGGGUGGGGGUUAAGAGACAAUAUA